rnacentral:rRNA from 1 species
UACAUGUGGGGCAAGCGUUGUUCGGAAUUACUGGGCGUAAAGAGCGUGUAGGCGGCUUGUUAAGUCUUGCGUGAAAUCUCGGGGCUCAACCCCGAGCGGUCGUGAGAAACUGGCAGGCUAGAGUGCGGGAGAGGAGAGUGGAAUUCCUGGUGUAGUGGUGGAAUGCGUAGAUAUCGGGGGGAACAUCAGUGGCGAAAGCGGCACCCUGGCAUUUGCCUGACGCUCAUGUGCGAAAGCGUGGGGAGCGAACGGG